rnacentral:rRNA from 1 species
GUCCUUUUGAAUUUGAUAUAAGGUUUGACCUGCCCACUGAAAUUUUGAAUGGCCGCAGUAAUUUGACUGUGCAAAGGUAGCAUAAUCAUUAGUUUUUUAAUUUAAAGCUUGUAUGAAGGGUUGGACGAGGUAAAAACUGUCUCUAUUUAAUUUAUAAUAGAAUUUAAUUUUUAAGUUAAAAAGCUUAAAUAUUUUUAAAAGACGAGAAGACCCUAUAGAUCUUUAUAAUAUCUUUUUUAAUUUUAUUAAAGAAUUUUUUAUUAAUUAAUAAAAAUAUUAUUUUAUUGGGGUAAUAAAAAGAUUGAAAAAAUUCUUUUUUUUAUUAAACAUUAAUAAAUGAUUUUAUGAUCCAGUAAUAUUGAUUAAAAGAUUAAGUUACCUUAGGGAUAACAGCGUAAUUUUUUUAAAGAGUUCAUAUCGAUAAAAAAGUUUGCGACCUCGAUGUUGGAUUAAAAAUUAUCUUAGGUGCAGAAGUUUAGGAUUUUGGUCUGUUCGACCAUUAAAUUUUUACA